UUCAACAGGCAUUUAGGGCGGAUAUUUGACUACCGAGACAAGACUUUAUAUAAAAACAAAGCCAAAUUCACUCACAUAAACCAAAGAUUCAGACAUUGUUCGACAGUACAGUGAAAAUGUGAUGACACAGAAACGUUAGGAGAGCUUUAAUGUGUGCUAAUUUCUCAAAGGAACCAAUUCCACUUUAAUAAUGACUACGGAGUGCCUUGGAUUAUUCUUGAAGGAGACAUGCUGCUUUUUUUUUUUUUUUUUAAAACAAAUUCUGGAAUUGAGAUCCGUUUCCACUCAUGCAAUGAGCCCUUCUCAUGAGAUAUCAACUUGAAUGACUUUUAGGAUUCAGGUAGUCACGUAAAGAAGAAUGUGUCUAAGCCAAGCUAACCUUCAGUAAAGGAGCCUGUCGGAUGUUGCACGGCAGGUUGUCGAACUGUCGGACAAAAGACCUCAGCUCCUCAACAGUCAACUCGUUCUGGUUUUGAGACUUUCCUCCUCCAGAACGAAACCUGAAAUACAAACAAAAACUCAGAAAAAUGACAGAAUUGUCUUUAACAGCUAAGAAAAAAAAAGAAUGUCUUCAAACUACAACGCUGGCACCUUGAAAAUAAAAGUCUGCGUUCUGCAACCUGUCUUUCAAAAUACAAACCGUAAUAAUGAUAUGAUGAUACAAUGGGGUCAAUAACAACCACAAAGCGUGACGCAUUAUGGGUCAGAAUGAACAUGGCUGUUUUUUAUGGAUGGAAUAUUUAUGGUCUUAUUGUGAUUCAUAGAGAAGUCAAAAAGUUGUGUAAAACAAUUUGUAUCCAAAAUCUAUUUGACGUACCUCGUCUGCCUCUUUCCAUUGAGAAGCUGUUGUGCCAUCACAGCAACUUUAUCAGCCUCUGAGACGACUUUGCGUAGCCGAUCCAGGAGACUGAUUUGUGGGAACGCCCUUGUUUCUGCCAGCUCCACCAGGCUGUGAAGCUCUUCCAAACCUGACCAGAAAGCAAAGUAUAACACAUAAGGAUGUCCUGCACACUACAGAGCCAGUCUUUAUAGGACUCUGCACGCAGCUUCACUGAUGCCAUCAUGGGAUACAACUCAUCCAGUGUAAACUUGUAACUGCAGGGAAAGACAAAACAAGGAAAUGAAUGAACAAUGAUGAUUGACAUUUGUCAAGGUUCAAUAAAAAGUUAUUACUCCUA